CACAUGGUUACUAGACCCACGUAUGUUAUUUGAGAACACAACGGUAGUUAUGAUCUCCGCCACAUGGUGGCGCAUUGGAUUAGGUUCCUGCCACUGAGCAUGUGAAAUCACACUGAUGGACCAAGCUACACUCACUGCUGAUACACAAACUGAGAAAAAAAUCAUCUGUUGAGCUAAUAAACCGGAUAAAGAAGAUUUUAUGAGCCUUGAGGAAGAGAGAAGAACUACUUCAACCACAUCUAAGCCCUCUGAACUCCGAUUGGUUUUAUUUUUCUGCUGGAUCAGGAGUCGAUCUGCAUGAAUUCUGAACCUUCUGUGGUUCAGUGGCGAGCCAGGCGACAGGAAGCGGAGAACGGGAUCCACUCCACGAGGACUACAGAAAUCUACCAACUUCUCUGAUACAGAUAAGCGCGCUCAAUAGAAACAAUUAAAAAAAAAACUACCCGGGUAGUAGAAGAAUAUAUAAACAGACACACACACACACCACAAGGAUCUAAGCUUUUUCUCCUGACACAGAAGAAAAGGACACUUUUAUUUGAACUUUUUUUUUCUAUUUUUGUUUUGUUAUCAAAGAGCUCUAUUUUGUUGGGUUUUUCCCCCCCUAAUUCUUUGUAUAAAAAGAAGUUAUAAUACCUGUUUGGUGCAAUAAAUAAUCAUUGUUCAACUUCCA